GACAGAGGCCUCGAGCGUUAGGCGGAAUCACUGGGCUUAAAGCGUGUGUAGGCGGGCCCGUAAGUGUCUUGUGAAAUCCCACGGCUCAACCGUGGAACUGCUGGGCAUACUGCGGGUCUUGGGCUAACUAGGGGCAGCCGGAACAAGCGGUGGAGCGGUGAAAUGCGUAGAUAUCGCUUGGAACGCCGAAGGUGAAAACAGGCUGCUGGGGUUGCGCCGACGCUGAGACACGAAAGCCAGGGGAGCAAACGGG
rnacentral:rRNA from 1 species